rnacentral:tRNA from 1 species
GGAGAGGUGGCCGAGAGGCUGAAGGCGGCAGAUUGCUAAUCUGUUGAAGGGCGCAAGCUCUUCCCCGGGUUCGAAUCCCGGCCUCUCCGCCA